rnacentral:rRNA from 1 species
GCCUACGGCUGAUCAGCACUUGGAAGAUUGUAUAAUGAUUAAGUCGUAUAAAAUUCUAGAUAAAAAACUGAUAAUGACAACUAUUUAUCUAUUAGUCUUGACCAAAUUACGUGCCAGCAGUCGCGGCAACACGCAGAAGACAAGUGUUAUUCAUCUUUAUUCGGUUUAAAGGGUACCUAGACGGAAAAUCAAGCCAAGUAGGUACUAAUUUUCUAGAGUUUUAUGGGAGAAAGUCGAACAUCUGGAGUAGAGAUAAAAUAUUGUGAUACCAGAUGGACGGGUAACGGCGUAGGCAACUUUCUAUAUAAAAACUGACGUUGAGGGACGAAGCCCUGGGUAACGAUAAGGAUUAGAUACCCCAGUAGUCCAGGGAGACAAUGAUGAGUGCCAUAGGCUAGAUAAAUUAGUCUAUAAAUGAAAGUGCAAGCAUUCCACCUCAAGACUAAAGCGGCAACGCCCAAAUUGAAAUCAUUAGACCGUUUCUGAAACCAGUAGUGAAGUAUGUCAUUUAAUUCGAUGAUCCGCGAAUAACCUUACCACGUUUUGAAUAUAUUUUGGGGGAUCGCAUAUUCAUCCAUGCUUAACCUUAAAUUAUACAAGCGCUGCACGGCUGUCUUUAGUUAAUGUCGUGAGACUUUGGUUAACUCCUUUAAUUAACGAAAACCCUUGUUUUAUUUGUUUAUAUAAAACAGUUCUCCGCUAUAUUGGAUAAGAUAAUAGGGAUUAAGGCAAGUCAUCAUGGCCUUAAUAACGUGGGCUAUCGAUGUGCCACAUAUGCCUUUACAAAAGGAUGCGAUAUUGUGAAAUGGAGCUAAUCCCCAAAAAAGGACAUAACUAAU